rnacentral:lncRNA from 1 species
GGUACAGUGGGAAGACAGUCCCUCUUUUCUGUUCCCACCACCCAAGGCACGGUCCCCCACAGCAGAGGCAUCUCCGCUUCCUGUUUCCGCCAUUUCAAGGGAUGGCGCUCCCAUCUCUUUAAGCUGCCGCUCUUCCAACUUGGCAGGGCUGAUUAGGAAGACCCAGUUCCUGACCACCGAUGCUUUGCUACGCUAGGCUGGAAAAUGCCUCCCUCUGCCCUUGAGAAGGGGGUCUGAAUGUUUUGCGGGACUGACACCGCAGCAACAUGCCGGUGUGUUUCACGCUGCUGCCUCCUGUUUCCCUUGAAGCUUUCACCAGACCCUGGAUUUCUUUUUCACUUCCUGUUCUGAGCCAUCGCCGGGCACUCAUUACCCACCAGCUGUGUCCCAGCUGCCGCAUUCUACACUAGAGGUGGCGCCCUGCACCCGGCGGAAAUGAAGAGAAUCAGACUACCCACCUUGGAUUCUGAUAUGAAAGAUUUAGGAUAAAAGAGCUACUCCAUCAGCCUGGAAAGAUGACUCACUGGCAAACUCUUAGAUAAAGCUAAACUUCACACCAAACUGCAAGAGAGUCUAAGAAUGAAGAGAAAACUGCUUUGGCAAGCAACUACCUAGUCUCUGACACAGUCCACCUUUUUGGUCAGCCAAUAUCCAGCUCCGCCUUGUCUUCUUACACAAAGCCCAGGCAAAGCCCAGGAUUGCUAACUGUUGUACAAACCUGUUGGUCAGGCCUAGAUGGAAGCUUUCAACCCCAUUUCAAGUCAGCUGGCUUAUCCAACCCUGAAAGGUCUGUGAUCUCUCAGUUCUUUUUAUAAACAGGCCUCUGCUUGCAAAUGGCCAAUUCUUGCCUGAGCUCAUCUCUUUCUUGUAAUACUUUAUGAAAGGCAGCCAGUAGUAACUAAUGCAUAAAUUUUUCCAACCAACUGGCCCAAAGGUCAGUAGACCUUUUUACCAAAUGUUUCGCAAUGUAUAGCAUGAAUCUCCAUCUUUCUCCUCUCUGUUAUCAGGUUCCUCAGUGCCCAACCAUUAUGUCAAUGCCUUUUACCUUAAUUUUUUUCUUAUGGCAACAUUUUCUUCUGGAAUUAUUUCUGUACUGUAGCAAAUGCCCUAAACUGUGUAAAACAGUUUGAAGACACUAUUUUUUUUUCUAUUUUUAUCAUUUGUUCCUCGGUCUACUCAAUACGCUCCCUGCUUAAAACUCCCCUAGUGAUUUUCUGUUGGGUUUAAAAUAGAGUCUAAACUCUUUACCAUGGAUUACAAGCUUCUCUGUUAACUGGUUGUAACCUGCAUUUCCAGCCUCCUUUGGCGCCACUCUUGUCCCACCAACUAUAUCACAUUUCCUUUGGAACAUUUUCUGCUUCUUGAACUUGCCCAGGUCCUUGCUGUUAGCUGGUCCCUUUGCCUAUGAUGAUCUUCCUUCUUAGCAUCACUUGAACUGCAAAAAAUAAAAAAUGAAAC